AAGUUGUAGUUUAAAGGGAAACAGCCCCAACAAGAAGUAUAAGGUUCCAAAAUUUUUUAAGGGAAAAAAAAUUUUAGCCCAAAAAGGUUGCAGGGCCCUUUUUUAAAGGCCUUGUAACGAGCACUGGGUUUUUACAAUUUUGUAUGUUUGUUUGGCCCCUAAAUUUUACGGGUUUWAAWAAWAUWCCGAGGCCCUUKKCCCUAAAUAUUUUUAUGUUCAGGUACCUGAAAUAUAUGGGGGAGCGGAACUUGGGCAUAUUUCCGAUUUUUUUUUUUUAGGCUUAGGUUGGUUUCCCAAGGUAAAGGUGCUGGGGAACGAAAAGGGGUUUUACCCUUCCCUAAAGGUUUUGGAAUUUUUUAAAGGAAAGGCCUUUUAGGUUAAAUUUGUUUUCUUUUAUGGGGUUUUUGUUUAAUUCCAAAAGGGGUAAAGAAAAUUUCCAAAGGGUAAAAGGGGGGAAAAAAAAUUUUUUUGUUUUUAAAAAAAAAAAAAAAUUUAAUUUUCGGGGAAAGAAAGGGUAUUUUGGGAACCCCUUGAGGGKAAAAUUGAAAAGGKGUUUAAUUUUUUUAAAAAAAAAAAAAUUUUGUAGGUUUGCUAAACCCCCUUAUAAAUAAAAACAGCCUUUGUGUUGUAUGCUAGAGUAGGGUACCCGUUAAAAUAGUAACAAGUAAGGGGUAGGUACUAAAUAAAGUGACAAAUGCUUUGGAAAAACGUAAAAUACUGAAUUAGGUAUAGGCGGGGGGGUUGUCCCUGUUAUUAUUUUUUUUUUAAGACCUAAAAAAAAAAUAUA
rnacentral:rRNA from 1 species